rnacentral:misc_RNA from 1 species
GAUGAAGAACGUAGCGAAAUGCGAUAAGUAAUGUGAAUUGCAGAAUUCAGUGAAUCAUCGAAUCUUUGAACGCACAUUGCGCCCGCCAGUAUUCUGGCGGGCAUGCCUGUUCGAGCGUCAUUUCAACCAUCACGCCCCAGGCUUGUGUUGGGGACCUGCGGCUGCCGCAGGCCCUGAAAACCAGUGGCGGGCUCGCUGUCACACCGGGCGUAGUAGAUUUUAUCUCGCUCAGGGCGUGCUGCGGGUUCCGGCCGUUAAAAAGCCUUUUUUACCCAAGGUUGACCUCGGAUCAGGUAGGAAGACCCGCUGAACUUAAGCAUAUCAAUAAGCGGAGGA